rnacentral:rRNA from 1 species
UACAGAGGUCCCAAGCUUUGUUCGGAUUCAUUGGGCGUAAAGGGUGCGUAGGCGGCGCGGUAAGUCGGGUGUGAAAUCUCGGAGCUUAACUCCGAAACUGCAUUCGAUACUGCCGUGCUUGAGGACUGGAGAGGAGACUGGAAUUUACGGUGUAGCGGUGAAAUGCGUAGAUAUCGUAAGGAAGACCAGUGGCGAAGGCGGGUCUCUGGACAGUUCCUGACGCUGAGGCACGAAGGCCAGGGGAGCAAACGGG